rnacentral:rRNA from 1 species
UACGUAGGGGGCAAGCGUUGUCCGGAAUCAUUGGGCGUAAAGCGCGUGUAGGCGGCUGGGUAAGUCCGCUCUGAAAGCCCGGGGCUCAACCCCGGGAGGCGGGUGGAUACUGCUCAGCUCGAGUCCGGAAGAGGAGUGUGGAAUUCCUGGUGUAGCGGUGAAAUGCGCAGAUAUCAGGAGGAACACCUAUUGCGAAGGCAGCUCGCUGGGACGUUACUGACGCUGAGACGCGAAAGCGUGGGGAGCAAACAGG